AUUGAACGCUGGCGGCAUGCCUUACACAUGCAAGUCGAACGGUAACAGGUCUUCGGAUGCUGACGAGUGGCGAACGGGUGAGUAAUACAUCGGAACGUGCCUAGUAGUGGGGGAUAACUACUCGAAAGAGUGGCUAAUACCGCAUGAGAUCUACGGAUGAAAGCAGGGGAUCGCAAGACCUUGUGCUACUAGAGCGGCCGAUGGCAGAUUAGGUAGUUGGUGGGAUAAAAGCUUACCAAGCCGACGAUCUGUAGCUGGUAUGAGAGGACGAUCAGCCACACUGGGACUGAGACACGGCCCAGACUCCUACGGGAGGCAGCAGUGGGGAAUUUUGGACAAUGGGCGAAAGCCUGAUCCAGCAAUGCCGCGUGCAGGAUGAAGGCCUUCGGGUUGUAAACUGCUUUUGUACAGAACGAAAAGGUCUCUAUUAAUACUGGGGGCUCAUGACGGUACUGUAAGAAUAAGCACCGGCUAACUACGUGCCAGCCGCCGCAGUAA
rnacentral:rRNA from 1 species